rnacentral:lncRNA from 1 species
AGUCACACCGGCAUCCAUGGCGAGCGGCGGGCGGCGUUCGGGGGAGUUGGGCUCGUUACGUCACAAGAUUGCGCCAACCCUUACAUGGUCCUUAAAAAAAAAACCUUCUGACACUGCAGUAGUGAAAAUGAAGCGCACGAUGGGCGGAAGCUAGGAAGACAAACAUAAAGAUGAAGUGCUUAAUUCAAGGUCACACAAUGUCGGGGAUGGACCUCCAGAUUUCCUUACUGGUGAGACGUGGUCUUGUAACACAGUGGUUAAGAAUGUGACUUUGGAGCCAGCCUGCUAGGGGCUGAAUUCUGACUCAGCCAUUUACUAACUGUGUGACCUUAGGGAGGAGGACCUGGUUGAUAGAAGAAUUUAUCUCGUAGUCUUAACAUCCACUGUAAUUCCAAACUUUGAGGACGAUAGAGAUCAGUGGGCUUUGACUGCCCAGCAUGCAGUCUCCAUUCUUAGGUAAGAACACUUUGAUUUU